rnacentral:rRNA from 1 species
CGGAAGGUCCAGGCGUUAUCCGGAUUUAUUGGGUUUAAAGGGUGCGUAGGCCGUUUGAUAAGCGUGCUGUGAAAUAUAGUGGCUCAACCUCUAUCGUGCAGCGCGAACUGUCGAACUUGAGUGCGUAGUAGGUAGGCGGAAUUCGUGGUGUAGCGGUGAAAUGCUUAGAUAUCACGCAGAACUCCGAUUGCGAAGGCAGCUUACMUAAGGUACAACUGACGCUGAAGCACGAAAGCGUGGGUAUCAAACAGGAUUAGAUACCCUGGUAGUCCACGCAGUAAACGAUGAUAACUGGGCGUAUGCGAUAUACAGUAUGCUCCUAAGCGAAAGCGUUAAGUUAUCCACCUGGGGAGUACGCCGGCAACGGUGAAACUCAAAGGAAUUGACGGGGGCCCGCACAAGCGGAGGAACAUGUGGUUUAAUUCGAUGAUACGCGAGGAACCUUACCCGGGAU